CGUCAUGCAGUCCCGGGCCAUGUCAGCGAGGGGCCGAGGGCCAAAUCUGCCCCAGACCUGGUUGUAGCGCACCGGAGUCUGGGAGGCACCUGGUGUGGGAGUGCAGCUGCUGCGGCCAGCAGAGGCGGCCUGGCUCUCCGGAGGAUCUGCUGAGUUUUUGCUGCUCAACAAAAAGGAAGCAGCGAUUGAGACAGGAAACUCAAUUUACUGAGAUAUGGACCUGAUGAUGAUGAUGCCUUUAAGGACGCUUCGGUCAGACUGAUUUAAUGAGAAACACAGACUGAACUUCUCACUUCUGACUUCUUAUUUUCUCCAGUUUUAACUUCAGCUUCAUCCCAAGUGUAAACAGAAUCAAAGUGGCUCUAAGAAAAGAUGAAACUGAA